AUACGUAGGGUGCGAGCGUUGUCCGGAAUUACUGGGCGUAAAGAGCUCGUAGGUGGUUUGUCGCGUCGUCUGUGAAAUUCCGGGGCUUAACUCCGGGCGUGCAGGCGAUACGGGCAUAACUUGAGUACUGUAGGGGAGACUGGAAUUCCUGGUGUAGCGGUGAAAUGCGCAGAUAUCAGGAGGAACACCAGUGGCGAAGGCGGGUCUCUGGGCAGUAACUGACGCUGAGGAGCGAAAGCAUGGGUAGCGAACAGGAUUAGAUACCCUGGUAGUCCAUGCCGUAAACGGUGGGCGCUAGGUGUAGGGGUCUUCCACGACUUCUGUGCCGUAGCUAACGCAUUAAGCGCCCCGCCUGGGGAGUACGGCCGCAAGGCUAAAACUCAAAUGAAUUGACGGGG
rnacentral:rRNA from 1 species